rnacentral:rRNA from 1 species
UACGUAGGGUCCAAGCGUUAUCCGGAAUCACUGGGCGUAAAGCGUGCGUAGGUGGCGUGUUAAGUGUGAUGUUAAAUCGUGGGGCUCAACCCUGUCGGUGCAUCACAUACUGGCAUGCUAGAGGACAGCAGAGGCAAGUGGAAUUUGUAGUGUAGCAGUGAAAUGCGUAGAUAUUACAAGGAACACCAAUGGCGAAGGCAGCUUGCUGGGCUACUCCUGACACUGAGGUGACGAAAGCGUGGGGAGCGAACAGG